AUGCCGUGUUGGAAGAUCAAACUGGGUUUCAUAGUUCCUUUGAUUUUCUUAAGGAGGGGGAAGGGGGUACAAGAGGAUUUUGGAAUGAAUAUUCUUGCUUGAAUCGGCAAUAAACGAAAAAUAUUUUGCAGAAUACAAAAUGUCAAAGAAUAUUCUGUCCACUAAAAUAGCAGGAUGUAUUUGUUAACGAGAAUGAAAAUAAAGUAUCGUACGGCGAAAUAGAUAAGCCAUACUAGCAACAGGUAAAAAUGGUAAAAAAAAAAUUCUGCACCUCCACCC
rnacentral:lncRNA from 1 species